rnacentral:lncRNA from 1 species
GGUAAAAUUCUGGCACCUAUCCACAGCCUGAACCUUGGAGAACACCUCCCUUUCAUAUGACUUCUGCAAAGGGCGUGUUUCAGCUCACAGGGACAAAGAGUCACUGCACCAGAGAACCAGAAAGAGGGAAGAAAUGUUUGUCCCCGGUGCUGAGAACACCAUCAGAUGAUCUUUCUGCCCAGAGCCACUAUCUGUCCCUAAAUAUCAGGUUUAUCAAUGCCUGGCCAUCUCUUUUCAAUUUGGGACAACUGCCAGCGACCACUAGCUAGCUCCAGAAUUCCUCAGGUGUUUCAGGAAACUGCCGCAACUUUGUAGAGCACAGUUUGAAAGCUACUGCUGAAGAAAUAUGUCACCUUGAAGGCUUUUUAAACACGGGAUUUGCAAGAUAGGGUUUGCAUUUUAGAAACAUUAUUCUGCUUGCUACACUACUGAGUUUGGAUGAGGGAGACUUGAAGGCAAGGGAGCUCUGUUAUGAAAUAACUACACUUUUCUUAUAGAAGAAGACUAUAAUAGACUGUAUCAAAAAUGUCUACGUUCCAUAGCAUUGGUGGAACCAUGCAUUACGUCUGAGGACAAGGACGGGAACCUUCUGUGGCGUGCUGUCAACAGCUUUAAAUAGGCAUUGAGUUUGAAGAUAGAGCACAUGAAGGGCAUGUUACAGCAGAGCUGAAGGGAGAACAGUUGAUGGGGUUUGGUGAUCAACUGAUUUGGAGAGUAAAGCAAUGAGAAGAAUGACAUUCAUGAUUUGGUAUGAAUUAACAGAAAGGGCACUGAUAGGGGGAUCAAUUCCUUAUUUCUACCAUGAGACAGGCAAGAUAAAGAAGAGUUGAUAAUUUCUGCACCCAUCUUACUUCCUGCCCACCACAGAGCAGUUCACCCAGUGGCCUGGUUGGAUGUUAGCCAUUGGCAGGGCAAGAAAUCCAACAAUCGACUGUUGAAGAAUUCCAGAGAAUCAGUCUGGAUCUCUUUCACACAGACAAAGUCUUGUUCCAGCUAAUCUUAGGCUCCUAUGCGAGAGGAAAGAUGCUGGGAGGCCAGCACGGUGGCUCACACCCAUAAUCCCAGCACUUUGGGGGGCCAAGGUGGGCAGAUCCCUCGAGCCCAGGAAUUCAAAACCAGCCCGGGCAACAUAGUAAUAACCCCCAUCUCUACAAAAAAUUAAGAAAAAUAAUUAGCCAGAUGUGUUGGUGCAUGCCUUAGUCCUAACUACUCCGCAAGCUGAGCUGAGAGGAUCACUUGAGCCCAGGAGGUCAAGGUUGCAAAGAGCCAUGAUCCUGUGCCUAGGCAACAGAACGAAAAAGAUGUGAGAAAUACUCAAAGUCUUGGUCUUUACCCAGAAGAAUCAGAGCAAGGAAAAGAAAGAUCUCUUUCCCCAGUUUGACAUCCAUCUUCCUAAAUUUGGACAAAGGGAUCCUAAACCACAGCGUCCUACAGUGAGUCAAAAUGCCCAUGCACUGAUUCUCAUCUCACUGGAGGUACAGACACGGCUCACAGGCUUAAGCGUCUUGCUGUAGGUCAUACGGCAGGUUAAUGACAACACUGGGGCAAGAACACAGGUUACGCUCGUCCUGGGGAAGGCUCCCACACCAAGCUACACACUUCUGCAAUGCUGUUCCAGAUGUGAAAAUCCGCUAAGACAAAUAGGUCACAAAAACACCAUGGGAAACGAUGAUGUCUUUUCCUUUUUGUUAUCUUGAUAAAGCUUCAUACAUGGAUGAUAAAAUGGAAAUUUCAGUUGAGGAACUAAUAAAUCAACAGAUGUCUUACUCCACAACGAGGUGCAAGAUCUUGAGGCUGGAUUUAGAAAGAGGAAGAGAAGACCAAUUGCACAGCUCAUCACCCCUCACCCAUCUGAUGAUAUGAAAGGUUUGAAGGAAGCCAGAGCUGGAGCAAGAUUUUCCUCAGAUGAGUUUUGAUGAACUACAAAGAAUGAAGAUGCUCUCCCUUGUCAUCCCCAGUCAAAGAAAAGGCACUUUAAAGAAAUCACUCACGAGCCAGAUAUUGUGGUUGUAUUUUGGUGGACACAGUGAAGUCACGUCUGGCUCGCUCCGCAAAUACUGGGAGGGUGAGAAGUGGGAGGCUGACCUUUGAGGAAGCACGUGGGAUUUUUCCCCGCGGAACAGACGUGAGCCAUGAACACGGGAGCAAAAGUGUGCUAGAGUAACUCCCGUCAAAGAGAGACCCUUACUAGGGCAAGAAGACCUUGAUCAAAGCAUACCCAGAUGCCGAGGUUCUGAGGAAGGAAAUAAGUGACCACCAGGCAUGGUGCUCUGAUUAUUAAGCUAGUUUCUCAGCUCCAAACUCAACCUUCACUGCUUAGCCUUGUCACGGUGGGAAGGCUGGGAGAGGCCAAACCACCUUUCCCCUUUGCCAGGGCUCCCUGAUCAGUUCUGCCUAUGUGCUACUAAGGGAAACAGUAAGGCUGGAGGAGGGAAAGGGGACACCACCCUUCUCUUUGCGCACUGCUUAUGCCAGCAGCAUCCGAGCAAUACCGCUUGCCCUGUAGUGCUUCUUGAGUCGGAUUUCAGUUCAGUGUCUGGGUUUUUUAACAUUUCUAUAACCAUUCUCCCUCCUCAAUAGCACUCCCACAUCAGAAGCUGAGUCCCAGCUCCCUGACUUCUCCAGAUCCUAGAACUAUCAGCACCAGCAGCAGCACACAUUCCAUUCCUGUGGGGCUUGGCUCUGUGAGGCUCCUCUCAGCUCCCAGAUUCUCCCAACACAACUUCUUUCCUUUGUUCCCCCAGACUUCGAGCAGGUCAUUUCUUGCUAUGCCUGUCUAACCCCUUCCCUAAAUUCAAUUCUCUCUGUUAAGAUAACCAGUAUGUUUCUGCUUUCCAGUCUGGAUUCUGAUUGAUACACAAAAGCUGCAUUCCCACAUCAAGGGAACUCCGAGUGUUCACCCUCCGUGGUAAGGGGAGACUGGGAGACCCCACAAAAGCAUCCCAAGAGAGGAAGAGUCCCUUUACACACCUGCUGCCCCGUGUGUGGAUGCCCACUGAGCACGGAAGUUGUCAAGGGUAUUACAGUCAUAGCAGAGCAGAGGACCUUAGCAGCCCUAGGCAGAGAGGGGCUGAAGAAGCCAACCAAGGCUUCAGGUGUGGUUGGAGAAAGAAGUCUCAGCUUCAAUCAAGUUUUCAAGUUGGAUUAAUACAUGGGAAUGAACUGUUACUUAUCUGCUAUAUUGUUUUUGUGAUAUCAAGUAACCUGAUUUUUUACAUGUCCAAAAAAACAACAACAAAAAAGUAUUGAAGCCUACCUUAAAUUUCAUCUAGGGACAAAAGGAGGAACUAGCCCACCAAGCAGGUUUAAAGGGAGUGUCGGACACAAAAAUGACAUGCCCCAUAUUGCAGUCUAGAAGGAACAACACGGUGAAUUGUCUACUGCAGGAUACCAGAAUAGAGAGAUGAUUAUUACUCUUAUUGUGCAGAUGAGAAAACUGAUGUCUAGAGAGAAUGAAUAAAUCCCAUCUUUCACAGCUGGACACUUCACUCUGUCUCGAUUACUACAUGGUGAAUUGAAGUUCCAGUAGAGAGGGAGUUGAGCUGAUACUGAGGAGGUAAAUACCCAUCACUGUAUACAUCUACUUCUUGGAAUUUGCAAGGGAACCAGUCAACAGAUUUUUCAAGCCUUAUAAGUUUAUCUGCCUGAGAAGUUCACCAGCUACAUAACAUCCUGGACUCUGGAGCCCAAGAGAUGUGUAGUUUCCAUUUUGGAGCCAUUUUCUUUGAUAAAUAAGUAGUGAGGCUGCCAUUCUUGUCAAAGUUGAGGACCACAACCUUACUCAUGAAACUGAAAGAUUGUUUGUUAUGAGGAGUUCUGUUUGAGCCAUACAAGCAAUAUAUCCUUUUUAAAGAAAUGUAUCCGGAAUCUUAGGUGUUCAUUGCUCCAAGCCAUGUGCAGAAUAAAAAGAAAACAAAAAACAAAAAAC